AAGACGCGGAGAUGAUGGAACGAACGAGAUGCAGGAGAUUUGGAUAAGGAAGAUCUUGGAAGAGAGUUCCUUCGUGAUGCUUGGGGAGAGGGUUUUGUUUCCGUGGGUGGUUGAAGGCUAUCACGAAUGGUAAGAAAUCUGGAACGAAUCCGGAUCGGUGAGCUUGUUCUUUAGAUGCGGAAGGGCUCUUGUUCGUGGACGUGGAGGGAUCCUUGGAUGAGGAGUUCGGAUGAUGCAGAUGACGUGGAAGAUGAACACAGGCGCGAGGGAAAUCUAGGAAGGUUCACUGGCUUGAUCCGAAGAAGAGGAUGAUGUGGAGGACUCUGUUCCAUUUGGGAGAAUGGUUUGAAGAUUUGCAUUUGAUUUGGCUUCGCUGGGAUCAAUCCGAGAGUUUGGGGGUGCUGCCGUUAGCUGAAUGCGGCUGGGAGAAAAUGUGGGAAGGGAUUGGAUUCGGUUGAGGACAUGGACGAAGAUGAGGAGGAAGAGCUUGGACCUUAUUCGUGGGAGAUAAGCAUGGCUGGAGAUGGAGCUAAUCCGGCUUAUCCGGGUUGGGAUCUAGCAGAAGAAGCUGGGAGAUUCGUGGAAGAAUGCAGACGUGGGAAAUGAAGGAGAGAGACUUGUUCGUAUUCAUAAAUUGUUUGGGAUGGCACGUGCGGAGAAAUGAAAAUUAGGGUCGACUCUAAUUGGUUGGGAGGAUCUGAUUCAUGGGAUGCAUGGGAUUUGGGUUUAGGGUCAUCCCAAAUGAGUUUCACUCAUCCUGCAUUCAUUAGGAUCAAUUAAUAAAUAAUUAAAUCACACUCGAAUUAAUUUAUUAAAAUGCAAUAAUGAGGGUAACACAUCUUUUAUGGUUAAAGUUACAAAAUAUGUGUAUUAAAAUAAUGAUAAGUGCUAUGAGAACGAGGUUAAUUUAGGUAUUAUUUCGCACUUAUCACACCCCCCAACCUACAUUUUGCUAGCCCUCGAGCAAAAUAAAAGCUAACUCA
rnacentral:lncRNA from 1 species